rnacentral:rRNA from 1 species
CAGCCGUAAACUAUGCGCGUUAGGUGUAUCGGUGACCACGAGUUACCGAGGUGCCGAAGGGAAACCGUGAAACGUGCCGCCUGGGAAGUACGGUCGCAAGGCUGAACUUAAGGAUUGGCGGGGAGCACCACAACAGGUGGAGCCUGCGGUUUAAUCGGACUCAACGCCGGGAAGCUCACCGGAUAAGACAGCGGAAUGAUUGCCGGGCUGAAGACUCUGCAUGACUAGCUGAGAGGAGGUGCAUGGCGUAGACGUCU